rnacentral:misc_RNA from 1 species
CUGAGCCAUCCACUAACAUGUCCAUGGAUGAGUUCUGCGGUGUUGAUUCUGCUCCCUCCACUUCAAGGGCAAUAGAGAUGAUGGAUUAUCCAAGACAUCCGUCGGCAGCUUCUGCAGCUUUGGUAGAAUUAAAUACAAGGCUUGAUUUCUUUAAGGAGAGGCGUUCUCAGCUGAUGGAACAGCUCCACAACCUUGACUUGAACUACGGCACAUCAUCAUCACAAGAUUUUAUUUAUAGACCAUCAUCCCCACCCUGGAACUGACAAAAGAUGAUGCCCACCAGUCACCAGCGAGUCAAUGUUGUUGUACAUUCUUUCGGGAUUGCAUAUAGUUGUAUCUUGUGAAGUCUUGCCUCAUUUUCAGUGUCCUUCCCCCCUUUUUUCACUCCUCUACAUUUUUCUAGUUAGAAUAUGAUUGGAUUCUAGUCAUGAAAAUUGCUGCACCCUGUCACAAAAUAUAUUGUAAACAAAAUUGAGUGUUAAUUGUUGUGUCAAUAGUUAGCUGAUCUGUGCUGAACAUACAUUUUGGACGGGAGACCUUUUUCAUUUUUAUGAGAAACAUAUCUUGUAUGUAUGUGACAAGUGAUGAGAAUAGUCCUGUGUAUGUGGACGUAAAUGAGUGAAUGAAUGAUCGGA